GGUCAAAGGUCAGUUUCAGUCAGUCCAGGGGUCAAAAGUUAAAGUAGCUCCAGUGUUUGUAAAAAGUGAUGCAUAUUAUUGGUUGAGUUAACUGGGAUUUUAAAAGGAUUAGUUUGCAGCAUCUGACAUGCUUAGUUGUCAAGUUACAAGGUAACAUAUGUCACAUGUCAUACAAUCUAACGGUCGUCAGCCUUGUUUGACCUUUACUUGAGACCAAACAUUCAACAUGUUC